UGGGGAAUAUUGGACAAUGGGCGCAAGCCUGAUCCAGCAAUGCCGCGUGAGUGAUGAAGGCCUUAGGGUUGUAAAAGCUCUUUCGCACGCGACGAUGAUGACGGUAGCGUGAGAAGAAGCCCCGGCUAACUUCGUGCCAGCAGCCGCGGUAAUACGAAGGGGGCUAGCUGUUGUGAUCGAAUUAUGGGGCGUAAAGGGCGCGUAGGCGGCCUGUUUAGUCAGAAGUGAAAGCCCCGGGCUCAACCUGGGAAUAGCUUUUGAUACUGGCAGGCUUGAGUUCCGGAGAGGAUGGUGGAAUUCCCAGUGUAGAGGUGAAAUUCGUAGAUAUUGGGAAGAACACCGGNUGGCGAAGGCGGCCAUCUGGACGGACACUGACGCGAGGCGCGAAAGCGUGGGGNCAAACAGGAUUAGAUACCCUGGUAGUCCACGCCGUAAACGAUGAAUGCUAGACGUCGGGGUGCAUGCACUUCGGUGUCGCCGCUAACGCAUUAAGCAUUCCGCCUGGGGAGUACGGCCGCAAGGUUAAAACUCAAAGGAAUUGACGGGGUCAUAGCUGUUUCCU
rnacentral:rRNA from 1 species